rnacentral:ribozyme from 1 species
UUUACAGUCUUCAAUGUGGACUACCAUUUCUUUUAGUUUGUUCUCUUUCUGCUCAUGCUUGUUUAUGUAUUCAAAGUUGGCAGAUUUUAAGAAAAACAGGACCUGAAUUAAACUGAACUUGAAGAUCAAGAAGAGUGGAAAAG